AUGAGAUCAAAUUUAUUAUUCCCUCAAAAAUGGAAUAUACGCAUAUAAUUGGUGUCCUAGUCGGUGGGCCAUUCCUUUUGUGGUCGAACCACAAUUCUACAUUUUCCACACACAAAUCAUAUCCAAAUCUCUCCCUCUCUCUCCCUCCCUCCCUCCUAGUUCUUGAGAGAGGAUUCACGCAAGCGCAGCUGGUGAUUUGUGAAGCGUGCCACGGGCCAGGUAGGAGGGCAAAUUCAAUGAUGUUCUCAAAUUCAAUGUAUAAGUGUUGCAAAUUUGCAGUGUGGGAAACAUCAACAUAAGAGCAAUAUAUCAUGUGAUGUAGCAGCAAUAUGAGGUUUUAAAGUUUGAAGCUAUCUUACUAAAACAUGAGGUAGAAAAUGCAGUUAUAUUAAAUAAAUAUAGACUAGUUGGAUUGUUGUUGGAUAUAUAUACAUGUGAUGCUGCUGUGUGCUUGAGGGUUGUGGUGCCUUAGUGAGUAUUCUGAUUCCAAAUUUGUUGAUGGUCAGGCAUAAUAUGUAGGUUUAAUAGUUACGAUUAGAAAAAUGCGAUAUGUAAUUAGUCACGCAUGAUGCUUAGGUCUAUUGAAUUUUCUGAAUUUGUUUGCUCAUCCAUGCCAUCUUUCUUCUGCAUCGAAAAUAAAUUUUACUUCCAAGUCUUGUAGAA